UCCAUGUGCUCUGAGAGGUGGACUGAGGUC
rnacentral:piRNA from 1 species